rnacentral:rRNA from 1 species
UACGUAGGGGGCAAGCGUUGUCCGGAAUCAUUGGGCGUAAAGCGCGUGUAGGCGGUCCGGUAAGUCCGCUGUGAAAGUCGGGGGCUCAACCCUCGGAUGCCGGUGGAUACUGUCGGGCUUGAGUACGGAAGAGGCGAGUGGAACUCCUGGUGUAGCGGUGAAAUGCGCAGAUAUCAGGAGGAACACCAAUUGCGAAGGCAGCUCGCUGGGACGUUACUGACGCUGAGACGCGAAAGCGUGGGGAGCAAACAGG